CCCUCACGGCGGGCAGCGGCGGUUCGCCGGGAGCACUAAGCUCAGUCAGAUUUCACACCUUCCGGCAGGUUUCAGGCAGAAUUAUUCCCCCCGCCUCCAGAAGAUAACAGCGGGGUGGGGGGGCGGUUGAGGGACCGACCCGGCCCGCCCUACCGAUGCUGCAGUACAGGCAGCCGCCGCCGUGGAAGAAGAUGGCGCCCGGGGCCGGUAGACCCUCACCGGCACCCGGCCGGACCGCGCGUCCCUCAGCGAGAGCUGCGGGGCCGGCCCCGGCUUCGUCCCGGAGUGGACGUAGCGAGUGAAGGCGACCUGGCUGCACACCCCCGUCUCCUCCAAAAUCUUCCCCUGAUCGAGGAAAGGGAGGAGAGCCCGGCUGAGCGGAGGGCGGCCUCCCCGGGGGAGGCUGCCACACACCGCGCCGGGCAGGUUGCCGUGAGGGAGACCCUGCGCCUGCCUUCCCCCGGCCGCUGCGAGGGCUGAGGGGGCGCGUAGGCGACGUGUUGGCGGGGUGAGCCUGCUCCAGCGCCGCUCGCCUCUACCCUCUCCUUUGGCGGCCGCUCCGGUUUGGUCCUCACCAGAAAGCCGGCACAGGAGAAGAUGGAGCUGUGGCGGUCCCCUGUGAGGCUGCGCGCCUGGGCGAGCGGGGUCGCUUUGGCACCGUGCGCCUGAGCAGGUACAAAGGCCUGCCGGGCACACCCCAGAACUCACGUGAAGGCAUUUUGAGCUAACCCUGCUACCUGAAUCAUUACUAGAACAAACUGGGUACAAGACGCUUGCAAACUAUUAACACAGUGAUGUGGUACAGUGCUUUUGCUUCGCCUCUCACUGGCCAGGAGAAAGGAUACAAAAAGGAGCUUCUGACAACACAGAGGCAUCUUCAGAUUCAGGGAAGACACUGUCAUGAAGGAGAAUGGGGAAUUUGGCAAGAUGCAGUAACUUCAGUUUUACCGUAAGUCUGCUUUUGUUUCUUGCUUUUGUACAUUUGUACAAGGUCGUAACUAUGUUUUUCACUGGUUCAAGGUAAAUCUAAAGUAGAGUAGUAAAGAAAAAUAGUUCAUACUUUCAUAAAAUUUGAAGAGUAAAUUAGGAAAAUUUUAAAUAUCUAGAACUGUCCCCUUACUCCCACUCCGAAUUUGGUAGCAACUUUGCACAUAAAUCAAUGAACGGAAAUUAUAAUGAAUGAGAAGAAACCACUUUCAAUACAUUUUAGAAUAUUAUUCAAGCUGGAAACAGAUACAUGAAAUCAAUAUUCACAAGAUUAUUCCAUUCCCACUGGCUUCAAAAGACCUGCAAAUGUUUUAAAUUAAUAAUUCAUUUUGGUUUCAAUCUGAACCGGUUAGCUGUGUAAUAUUGCUGACUUUUCUGUUUUAAAUGUGUCCGGGGUGAUUUAUGUAUAAAGAGACUGAACUCAGAAAUCAAAAAAUCAAAUUUACUUUGAUGAACUUCAUAUCCGUGCAUUUUUAACAGUGCUCCUUAUUUCCGUACCAGAAGGUUGUUAUAUUUGUUACCAGUCCAGACACUGAGUCAUUCUUGUUUAAACCAGACACUAGGCUCUCUGUGUAAUUUCUCUCUCCCCUUCAGAGUUUUUGGACUGAGAGGAAAAUUGUAAUGCCAGGUGCCUCCCCGAGCUCCAUUUCUAAAGGUAUUACUGUAAAAACACAGAGGUGCUAAAUGCUGCCAAGCGGCCAUGGAAAUUCUCUGAGCUCUGGUUAUUUCAGAUGCAGGCAAGUUAGGGAACACCACCUGGUUCUGACAGUAUGUACAGACUUAACGGUUCUGGUUAGAGUGCUUCACCUCCUUCUCUCCAAAACCCUCCGUGGCACUUCAUGGUGAUGCAGUGAUAGUCAUAUGGCUGAUUCCAUAUGAGGUAACCUGGCAUUUAAAGGUAAGAACUCUGCAAGUUUCUCUUUACAUUUUAUUUUCUUUUUUUCUGAACUUUUGUGGAACUUUUAAGAGGUUGAAAUUCAGGGACUUAGAUAUCGUUCACAUUUGGUGUGAAAAAAAUGUGUGUGAUAUAGGUUUUAAGUGUGGGUGGGACCAGAAACUCGGUGGCUCUUCCUUUUGCAAACAAAUAACCCUGCACACUCUGUUACCAGAUGGCCACUUCGAACAAUGCCUGUUUUCAAAAAAUUCUGUUUGAUUCCAAAGCAUGAAAUUUAUUUUCAAAGGGAUUCAGAAUACUAACUCACUGCUGUUGGUUGUGCAGUAUAACUCGGCUACCUCUGUGUAGAUGCUCAGGCUCAUACGCUUCCACUGUAGUGGUGCUUUAGUAAGUACAGUUGUAACGAAGUUUGAGAGUCUUUGAAAGUUGUCAUUUUUCAGUAAUUCUAGUGUUAACCACUAGAUGGCUUCCCAGGAUAGCGGAUCUAGACCCAGGCCUCCUGAAUGAACACGCGGGAUUGGACUCAUUUUGGCACGUUCUUCAUGACAUAUACAGUCGUAAACGCGACGUUCUUUCCAGCUCAGCUGUGAAGACAGCACUGUGAGGUCUGACAUCCUCGAGCAUCUUCUGACAUCCUCAAAGGCUGCCCAUUAGGUUAUUUCUGAUGGCUGCCCCGACUACUGACGGUGCAUGAACAGCUCUCAGUUCCCAUAGGCACUUAGAACCUCCUCAGAAAUGCUUAAUCAGAACAGCUGAAAACCUAACUUACCUGCCUAAUGCUUAACAGCGCAGACAACCGAGUUGGGGGACCUAGUCGCAACAUACUUUGCCCUUUCUCCUGUUACAACAUAGUUUAAAGUGCUGUGGAGACCUUGUGUUGCAACUGUGCCCUCAUAACUGGGCAAAAAAGUCUUGGAAAAGGGGAGAAAAAAACAAGCCACCCUUUGUUAUGAGAAAGUGAGUCUCCCUCCUUCAUUCAGAGCCUGCUUCUUUAUUGCCCCGCUACUAAAUCACCGGUUUUCAAAUGCAAGCAUCUUACAGCUUGGAAAAUCCACAAGCUGUCACAUUGUCCAUGAAAACAUUAGUCCAAUAGUAAAAGAUUCCGAUGAUUGCCAGCCUAGGCUGGAUUCAGCCUGGCAAGCUAGGGCUGAAAGAAGUUUUCCCGUCCACACCAGCUUAUCUUGGGCAAGCAGUUCUCUGCCAGAGCUCUGCAAGGCAGAGAUGGCUCCCUUGAACUCAGCCUUAACCCUGUCUGUUCCUGGAACUGCUUUCUCCUGGGCUGAAGUCAGAUCACACCAGCUCCCUCCGGGUGCGGGUACGUCCGGGAGGAGGCAGGGGCUGCCUGGCUGGCUUACAGCGCCCGUCAGUUCCAGCUGCCAGCGCAGCGCGGCCCGCAGCGAGCCCGCAGC